GAAUCUUCUGCGGCUAGCCGCUCUGCAUGCAGGCACGAGAGUUUGCUUUGCUGUUGCAUGCACAGUACAGCACAGCACAACUUGAUCAGCGUGUAUAUGGGCCUGUUGCAGAUUAAUUGGUUUACUUCUCCACCCAGUGGAGUAGUACAGCUGUAAAAGUAUAUACAGGGUGGCAAUUGAAUUGGUCCACCCCCUCCCCCUGCUCAUGGAGCAUGUGAGUUACUCCAUGCAAGGCAGGGUAAAAAGGGCAGUGGUGAAAAGAAGAAAAGUGGGGCGCGCUAGAUGGCAAUCCUGCAGGGGGUAGAAGAAAGUAGAGCCAACUCUCCCUUCUCAUGCUAAUUGCCCAGGCUAAGAUCAAAGCCAUAUAGCUGUCUCGUAGUAGCAACGUUUUUUUUAUUUUGGAAAAGAAAGAAAAAGAGAGGUCUAAUGGUGAAGUUCCUGUCCCAUGCACACAAGAAACACGCAAUAUGUGCGUGUGGUGGUUUGCAUCCAAUCCAAC